GUGGGGAAUCUUCCGCAAUGGACGAAAGUCUGACGGAGCAACGCCGCGUGAGUGAAGAAGGUUUUCGGAUCGUAAAGCUCUUUCGUUAGGGACGAACGUGCUCUUUGUGAAUAAUGAGGAGUAAUGACGGUACCUAAAUAAGAAGCCACGGCUAACUACGUGCCAGCAGCCGCGGUAAUACGUAGGUGGCAAGCGUUGUCCGGAAUUAUUGGGCGUAAAGCGCGCGCAGGCGGGAUAUCAAGUCUGUCUUAAAAGUGCGAGGCUCAACCUCGUGAGGGGACAGAAACUGGUAUUCUUGAGUGUCGGAGAGGAAAGUGGAAUUCCAAGUGUAGCGGUGAAAUGCGUAGAGAUUUGGAAGAACACCAGUGGCGAAGGCGGCUUACUGGACUGUAACUGACGCUGAGGCGCGAAAGUGUGGGGAGCAAACAGGAUUAGAAACCCGGGUAGUCC
rnacentral:rRNA from 1 species